ACCCAGCCAUAAACUUAGAUAGGCCCCUAUACCAUACCAAUCCGCCAGAGAACUACAAGUGAAAACUUCAAACUCUAAGGACUUGACGGUGCCCCACACCCACCUAGAGGAGCCUGUCCCAUAAUCGAUAAUCCGCGUUUAACCUCACCCCCCCUUGUCACAAGCAGCCUGUAUACCGCCGUCGCCAGUCUGCCUAGUGAUAGACCCACAGCAGACAAAACCGUAUCCUACUAACACGUCAGGUCAAGGUGUAGCUAAUGGGGCGGGAAAAGAUGGGCUACAUUUUCUAAACACUAGAAAACUACCAAAAGCUAUAUGAAAUCUAUAGCCACCCGGCGGAUUUAGCAGUAAACAGGGCAAGACACGCCCAAUUGAAGUUUGCCCUGGGGUGCGUACACACCGCCCGUCACCCUCCUCUCUCACCCUCUUCCCCAUAACUAAAACCUAUCACAAACAUAAGAGGAGGUAAGUCGUAACAUGGUAAGCUUACCGGAAGGUAAGCUUGGCCCUCCA
rnacentral:rRNA from 1 species